rnacentral:rRNA from 1 species
GACGAACGCUGGCGGCGUGCCUAAUACAUGCAAGUCGAGCGGAAGUUGGAGAGCUUGCUCUUCAACUUUAGCGGCGGACGGGUGAGUAACACGUGGGCAACCUGCCCUGCAGAUCGGGAUAACUCCGGGAAACCGGUGCUAAUACCGAAUAGUUUUCGCCACCUCCUGGUGGCGUACGGAAAGACGGUUUCGGCUGUCACUGCAGGAUGGGCCCGCGGCGCAUUAGCUAGUUGGUGGGGUAACGGCCCACCAAGGCGACGAUGCGUAGCCGACCUGAGAGGGUGAUCGGGCACACUGGGACUGAGACACGGCCCAGACUCCUACGGGAGGCAGCAGUAGGGAAUCUUCCGCAAUGGACGAAAGUCUGACGGAGCAACGCCGCGUGAGUGACGAAGGUUUUCGGAUCGUAAAACUCUGUUGUGAGGGAAGAACAAGUACCACUUAACUACUGGUACCUUGACGGUACCUCACCAGAAAGCCACGGCUAACUACGUGCCAGCCGCCGCGGUAA